UAAUUAACUGACUAGGAAAAGCUUAUGGAAUUCCAACUAAUAGAACCAUAACUUAAACUCUUGAUAGAUUUUAAAACUUCAUUUCAAAAGAUGUUACACGCUGAAUUAAAUAUAAGAAGUCAUGAUCAAACUUGAUAAGCAAAUAAACCACUCCUAUCUUGUGUUCAUGACGCACACUUCACCAAAACAAUCUCAUUGCCAAUAACAAACCCCACCAUUAUGUUCAAACACCUCACAGAAACCUUCUAACAGCACACCACACAUCAUCAUUUUGUCCUUAGCUUCUUUACCACCAAUUCAAGCAUGAUUACUUAUUUUAUCUAAGGCUAAAGCAAAUUUAAGACAUAUUUAAAUUGACUGAGUUCUCUAACACAACAUUCCAACAAUUCCCAAAUCAAAUACAAUUAUAAGAAUUCGACUAUUCAAAAUAGAAACUAGCUAGAAUACAUGACGAAUCAGGUGAUUAAAGGAAUAAACAUUAUCAAGAAGUACAACUGAAAUACAAAUACAACUACUGCCAUGCUUUCAACUCUGUUUUUCAUUUCUAUUUUCAAAUCGAAACUCACAUUAGGUAGAAUUCAGAAAAAAUGUACCUGAAAAUGAAAAAGGAAGUAAAUAAGUGAGGAUUCAGCACAGAUCAGCAGCCGAAAGCUCAACCAAAAGGAAGCAACAUCUGAGUCAGAAAAAGAAACCAGCAAUGGAACAGUGUUCUUCCCAAAGAACUGAAGGGGAUUUUAGAUUAUUUAAUAAUUUUCCAAAGAGAGCCAGCCGUUUUAAAAAAAGUACGACCCAGUACAAUACCACUCAGUGGUGUCUGGGGAGGGUAGUGUGUACGCAACCUUACCCCUACCCUGGGGUAGAGAGGCUGUUUCCAAAUAGACCCCCGGCAUAAAUUCCCAGAAUUUGCUCCUGGGGAGACUCGAACUCACAACCUCUCGGUUGUAAGUGAGGGUUGGUUACCAUCAGCCAGCCGUUUUAGUUUUAGGAUAUUUUCUUUUCCAAAAUCUGCCUUGAAUAUCAAGUAAUGAUACCUUUAUAGACAAGCUAUUUGGGCAGCCUCAAAGAAAUCAGAUUUGCACUUCUAGCCUUUUGAUAUUUUCAUUUUUGCUCUCAUACCCUUAGGGUAAAAUUCAGAUUCUCACAUGAGUUCCUAUCCCAGCUUCCAAGAAACUUCCUAAUUCAGUUAAAUAAGAUUCCCUAAGUUACAUUACCCAAAAUACCCCUUAAACCCCUGCUUUUUUACUUUCAGGCAACCAAACAGGUAUGGGUCAAUGUUGACCCAAGGUUCAAAUCCCAAAUGAAUAGGCCAGAAUUGAACUUAAGGCUAAAACAAAACUCAAAAACCCAUUUAGCUAAAUCAAUGAGAAGUAGAAAAGAGAAACAAAUGAACAACUUAAAAAGCCCAAAAUCUAAACUAACAAUUGAUUUUCUUUUUAAGCUAAAAUACCGAAUCAGAAUUAAACUAAAUUAAUAAAUUAAAAAAGAUCUAACUUAAACUAAUUAUCAAAAGGACAGUGUUAUAAUUAACCGAAAGAAAACAGAUAACAUCGUUCAAAAAUUUGAAGAAGAAAAUUGAGAAUUCACUCGAACAAAUACGACCGCUGCUUUAAUCAAGAGGGAAAACUAGAUUUGAGACUUUUUAUCACUUUCCAAUCAGAGAAACAAGCAUUAGAAGAAACGAAACAGAAGGAGGCUGGUUCAAAAAUGAAGCUGACGACAGAGACGAAGGAGCAAGAACAAAGAGAAAAUACAUCGAUGGCCAUACAGACAAGGCUUGAUAAACCUCAAACGACUCCAAUUUGACUCGCAACUAGUAUUAAUCGUAUGUUCUUUUUGAGAACAAACUAGCAAUACUCGUUUCAAGCCCAAUCGUUCACAAGAACUCGAGGACUUGAGAGAUUUUCUUCUCCUCCGAUUUCAAAUUUGAAACAUGUCCGAUUUGGCGAGGAUUUUGGGAAAAAUGGUGGGGAUUGGGGCUGAGGGAAGGGUGAUGGUUGAAAGGCUGGAUUUUGGUGGUGGUUGAAGCUAUCUCGCUGGCGAUAAUGGCGGACUAGCUCAAAGGCGCGUUAUCUGAUGAGGAGACGAGAGAAGGGCUCGUUUGGUCUUUUAGGUCUAACUGAGGGAUUUCGGACAGUCUUAUUUGAGAUAAGGGAUGUGCUUUGGAUCGUUGGAUGAAACAAAAUGAAGGGCCAGGAUUUGUUGAACUCAAAACGACGUUACUCUACUUCUAUACGACAUUGUUCCUAGUCUUAAUGACUGACCACUUGGAUCGAGUAAAACAAUGGGUUUUGGG
rnacentral:lncRNA from 1 species